AAUCUUAUAUUCAAAAUAAAUGAUAUUAAAUUGCAAAUUUAAAGGUAUAAAAAUUUAUUAAGAUUU
rnacentral:tRNA from 1 species